rnacentral:rRNA from 1 species
AUUGAACGCUGGCGGCAGGCCUAACACAUGCAAGUCGAACGAGUGGCGGACGGGUGAGUAAUGUCUGGGAAACUGCCUGAUGGAGGGGGAUAACUACUGGAAACGUUAGCUAAUCCCGCAUACCAUCAGAUGUGCCCAGAUGGGAUUAGCUUGUUGGUGGGGUAACGGCUCACCAAGGCGACGAUCCCUAGCUGGUCUGAGAGGAUGACCACCCAAACUGGAACGGAGACACGGUCCAGACUCCUACGGUAGGCAGCAUUGGGGAAUAUUGCACAAGGGGGGCAAGCCUGACGCAGCCAGGCCGGGUGGAUGAAGAAGGCCUUCGGGUUGUAAAGUACGUUCAGCGGGGAGGCGUUACCCGCAGAAGAAGCACCGGCUAACUCCGUGCCAGCAGCCGCGGUAAUUC